GGAGACGAGGGAGCCCUGGAAAAACCCUCUCUGGAGAAAGUCACAACACGGCAGGUGCUGGAGCACCGCCACGGCUAAUUGUGUGAUGUGUUCUCUCGAAAAUGAAAACACUUAAUUUUUCUAAAGUGUUUCUUUAAUUUCUAUGUUCUAAACUCCUAUAUAACUAAAUUUCUAUAAUUGUCUCUACCAGGCCACUUUUGACUGGACAGAUUUUGCAGAGAAUUGCCACAGAAUUUAACCAGUUACACUUUCAUGCUAUUCAAAUCAAAGGCAUGCCUCUUUUGGACACAGUAAGACCAGAAAGUGUUUUAGAUUUCCACAGUUGUUGUUUAGGAAUUUGCUAAAUAGUUUUGCUUUCACCUAGUAAUGCUUCUAGUAAUUAUUGACCUACAGGAUUCUGAAACUACUUCAGAAUUUUUUCAGUUUGUUUUUUGGGCCCCUGCUUCCUGAAUGCCACACAUUGGUGAUUUCAUGUAAAACACAGGCAUGUUCUCUGAAUUAUAAGAGUAAAACUAAUCCUGAAUUUCUUGUAAAUUGACAUAUAUGAUGUAACAAGAGUUAAUUUAUCCAAAGUCCUUGACUGGGCUUUAGAUUCAUGAUGUUUGUAAGACUUAUUCUGUAGCUUAAGAGAAAAAUAACUCUUUUUUUUGUCAUUCUGUAAUUUUGUCUAACCUCUCCUUUGAGGAAGCAAAGAUUUACUUAUGAAGAGACUGGGGAGGAGAAGAUAAUCAUUGUUACUCUACAGGAAGUGUUAAUAUUUUCAUUUUGCAUGUAUUCUAUUAGAAAAUAGAUUUGGUAUGUAAAUAUUUGAAUUUUUAGAAGUUAUUCCAAUUUUCUUACCUAUUUCUUCUUGCAGCAUAUAGCUGGUAUAACAGUCAUGUUACAACGGUCGCUAGAAGGCCUCCUAUUAGAAGGGCUUCAGACCUCCAACGUUGAUAUAAUACAGCGCUGCUUACGGAUCUAUGCCACGAUUGACAAGACCUGGGAUGCUGAGGCCUUACUUGGUCAAGUGCUAGUGAAACGGUACGUGGAUGAGGAGAAAAUACAGAGGGCUGUGCAUCCGAGGAACAAAUCCCAGAAGCUAACCCUGAAGAUACAGGUAUCAGUGUAGAGUCAGAAAAACUGGACGUGGAAAAUAAACAUUACAGAAAUGUGGUAUUUCAAGACUGUGAAAAAGACCAAGAUAACACAACAAAAGAUCCAAGCAAUGAUGUUAAAACCCCCAAUACAGAAACCAGGACAGGUUGCUUAAUUAAGUAUAACGUAUCUACUACGCCAUGCUUGCAAAGGGUGAGAGUGAGCCCCUACAAUGUGGAGGGACUCUGCAGGCAUCAAGACCGGCUUGCUUGCACGCCCAGCCCCUGAUCCCCCGGCUGCUGCGGUCCAUCGUGCCCCUUGGACUGCGGAUGCUUAAGAUCAGUUACGUGUAGACCUGGGUUUGUUAAACAGCAUCUCCAAGGAUGUGCAUCAUCGAUGGUGCAUGAGCUUUGCAGUCCAAUAGACCUACAUUCCAAAUCUCAGCUCCUACCUUCCCUUAAAAGUUAUGUGACCCUGGAGAAGUUACAAGGUGAACCUCAUCUUUCUGAAGAGUAAGGUAAGAGAUACCCCUUGCUGGUCAUUUUUUACCAUGGUUAUUUGCCUGUCCCCCGGUUGAUGGGCCAGAAUGGGCCUGACCCAAGCUGAACUGUCAGAGUGCUUUCCAUAGGGAUGUGGCAUCCAGACUGAGAAUUCUGUGUCGUUAGACCUGAAAUAUGUAAAUGUGAGGUACUGGGUGACCAUAUGGAAACUGGGGAGCAAAGGUCACAGUCAACAGAGAGGACAGUGAAGUAAUUACCCAGGGAAAAACAGACUGCUGGCUGGGGUUUUCUGUAGCCUAUUAGUUUUGUAUCCAAAUAAUUCUCAUUAAAUCCAAAUAUGGUUAAAGCAAAAUUCCUCUACUGGGAAUUUUAAUGGGAAUAAUCCCAUUACCCUUCUUAAAUGUCAUUGAUUAGUAUGGGAACCUUCGAAAUUCCUUUCUGUAUAUUUAACAAAAAUACACACACACAAACACACGUAUUUGGACUUUGUAGAUUUUUUUUGCUUCAUUAGAUAAAGUGGUGCCAUACUUCGGUAUGGUUCUGUGAUUUGUGUUUGUAAUUUACUAAGUAAAAAGGAGCUUUUCAUUGACACACAUCAAUGUAACAUUAAGACUACAUGGGAGCUUAGUAAAUGAUAAACUUUACAUUUCGAAAUAGUAAAGGAUCUCUGUGAGUCAGCCACCCAUUCGGAGAACAAAUUUCCAUCUACACCACUUGCAAAAACAAAUUCCAGGUAGAAUAAAUAGUUAAACUGAAGUAUAUUAGAAGGAAAUGUAAAUAGAUUUUUCCCUAGGAGAGGGAGGGCUUUCUUAAGGUUUUUAUAAGGUAACUUUUGUAAAGGAAUGUUUAACACUGCAGGGGGCGGUAGGGCACUCAGGCACGGAGCAGCAGGGCUGUGCCACCCCAGUGGGUACAAGCAGGAGACAUCCAGGAGCCAGACCAGCUGCCACACCAGAGACCUUCACAAUUCUGUGAGAAAAUGGAUUGUAAAGCUAGAUUUCUACACCCAAAAUACCAUUCAAGUUUGAGGGCAAAAUAAUGUUUUCAAGCUUGCAAAGAUUCAGAUUAACGCUCAUAAAUUUAUCUAAAAGUAUUCCUAAAGGUUUUAUUCCAGUGAAAUAGAAAGUGAAUUUCAGACUAAAAGAAUUGUCAGGCCAGCCAAAUCAAAAUAAAAAACAGGGAAAUCUGUGUAAUUGUAUGUUACAGUAUGAAUUUUGCAGAAUGAAAACACUGCAACGAUUUCAGCAGGAGAGGCACCAAGGCUUCUGUGGAGAGUUACAGCUAAUUCUCUUGCUGGUGAGCUUGUGUGUGGGAGCAGGAAACAGAAAUUUGGGCUCACUCUUAUUGUCUAGUAAGUACUAGGGGUUUAUGUGUAAAAAAUACAAAAUGCCAAGGCAAGACCCAGCAACGCCAUUCCUAAGUAUCCAGGAGAAGAGAAAAUAAGCCCCACAGAUUGUACACAAAGACACUCAUGGUCUUAGUCGUGUUAGUCAAAAACGGAAAACCCGAAGCUCCAUCAGCUGGUGAAUGGGAAAACAUUGUGUGCGAUAUUCAUACUCAAGCAACCUAUGAAUAAGGAGAUUUGAGCAAAAGGACACGGAAAUUAAGAAAAAGGAACCAACUACUGAUAAACAAUACAGAAUUUUAAAAAACAGACAGAACAAAUGACAUAUUGUAUGAUCCCAUUUAUGUGAAAUUCUAGAAAAGAUAAAACUAUAGUGACAAAGCACACUGGUGGUCAACUGGGGCCAGGGGCUGGUGGUCUGUCUGACUAAAAGGGAAGUAAAAUUUUUUGGAGCAGA